CAUGUACUCCCUCCGUCCAAAAAAGCUUGUUCCUCAAAUGGAUGUAUUUAGCACUAACUUGAUGCUAGAUACAUCCAUUUAAGGGACAAGCUUUUUCGGACGGAGGGAGUAUAGG
rnacentral:pre_miRNA from 1 species